GACGAACGCUGGCGGCGUGCUUAACACAUGCAAGUCGAACGGAAAGGCCCUGCUUUUGUGGGGUGCUCGAGUGGCGAACGGGUGAGUAACACGUGAGUAACCUGCCCUUGACUUUGGGAUAACUUCAGGAAACUGGGGCUAAUACCGGAUAGGAGCUCCUGCUGCAUGGUGGGGGUUGGAAAGUUUCGGCGGUUGGGGAUGGACUCGCGGCUUAUCAGCUUGUUGGUGGGGUAGUGGCUUACCAAGGCUUUGACAGGUAGCCGGCCUGAGAGGGUGACCGGCCACAUUGGGACUGGGGUACGGCCCAGACUCCUACGGGAGGCAGCAGUGGGGAAUAUUGCACAAUGGGCGGAAGCCUGAUGCAGCAACGCCGCGUGCGGGAGGACGGCCUUCGGGUUGUAAACCGCUUUCGCCUGUGACGAGGCGUGAGUGACGGUAAUGGGUAAAGAAGCACCGGCUAACUACGU
rnacentral:rRNA from 1 species